rnacentral:ncRNA from 1 species
CUUCGCAAUGGAUACCACAGACUUUUGGAUUGCUGGUACCAGUAGUAAUCAAUUCGUUUAAGGUGAUAUUAAUUUACUUUGCUAGUUUCAGCAGUUUUGAUACAAUAUACGAGUUUUGUCCGGUAGGCUUGCAAUCGGCAACGACAACAACACACGCAUACUACCAGUGAUAUUAUAACCAAAGAACAGGCUUGGAUGUAUGUGGCGGAUCUGGGUCAAUGCCUGAGCUGUGUGUACGUCCAAGUAGUUUUUUGUUCACGGUCCACUCGAUUUUCUGCUCUACCUUGGUGAUGAUUAUUAGAUAGAGGCUUAAAAUGCUUACAACGGGUAACGGAGAUUUAGGGUUCGAUUCCGGAGAGGGAGCCUGAGAAACGGCUACCACAUCCAAACAUCCAAGGAAGGCAGCGAG